rnacentral:lncRNA from 1 species
GUGUAAAUAGGCAGCGCGCCAUAUUCAUUUUAUUUUGUAGUGUAGGCCCAUGGGUUCCAUGGUGUAGGUAAGGUUGCAGGAAGGCUCCUAUGUGCAGACAAUCCAAUUUUGGAACUGUAAUCAAGGCUAUUGUCACAAGUUCCUGUGCCGUGUCGAGCAUGUGAUGAAGCGCCAGGAGUCGCCGGAGAGUAGUGACGGUUCGUCAGCCGUGGUUUGCGUGGUGCCGCCGGUGCGCCGCUCUCCCGCCGAGCCGCCCCUUCUCGUCGCCCAGUCUGGCCGCCCAGCCGAGCCUGGCGCGGCUGACGGCGCCGUAGACGGCAUCAUGUAGAACCAGCAUAGGUGAAGAAAUAAUGCGGCGGUGGCUCGUUGCAGUACUCUGCCGGCGCCAGCGAAGAACCGGCCUCUACCGCCGCUGGGCCGGUGCCGCACUCCUCUGCGCCCCAGCGACAGGAAGCUGCCGCCGCCGCCGCCGAUGCCGGCGCCGUUCAGCCCAGCUACCACCGACUCAAGGUGGAGGACGUGCUCUCCUACCAGGACCAGGUCAAGUCCAAGUUCCAGAACAACCCACAGGUCCACAACGACUUUCUCGAUAUCAUGAAGGAGUUCAAGGCGCAAAAUACCUACACGUCUCGAUGAUGGCGCCGGGCUAGGUGACCACAGCGCGGUGUACACGCCCACUGGCGACUUCCAGACCUAUUCGGACACAGUGGUACCGACGCCGCCGCCGCAGCCCCAGCAGCAGCAGCCACCGCCACCGCCGCUGCCGACGGCGCCCAGCGCGCCGCCCAAACCGAGUCACCAGCCGCCUACCAAGGAGCAGGUAUGGCACCAACAGGCAACAACAUCCUGUCGCACGCUGUGCGGCGGCGGCCGGCGUCGGGGGCCACCACGUCACCGCGCACCACUCGUACAACCAGCCGCCGCCGUCCGCGGCGCCCACAGCCGCCGCGUCGGCCGCGCUCGUCGGCGGCGCCGGCUCCAACCUGCCCAACCAGGGUGUGGCCGGCACACAGCAGAGCCAGCCGGUCGAGUUCAACCACGUCAUCAUUUACGGCAACAAACUCAAGGGAAACAUCGCUGCUCCUCACGACCCAUGGAUGAUGAGCAGUGAAGAUUGACUACCACCGGAUCACAGUCUGCGCGCUCUGGUGGUUGGUGCCCGAAUGGGGAGAUGCGUGCAUCGGCGCGAGUGAUCACCGGGUGCCCGCUAUCGACUCCCUCACACGCUGUCAUGGCGGAGGCUGGCCUCGCCCCGGUGGUGGAACGCCGCCAAGUCCUGGCGGCGCGACUCCUGGCGAAGGCCCUCGCCCUGUCUGAGGGAGGUCCGCUCCGUGUCGUGGCGUCCAGCAACCCACCCAGCAGACUGAGGACAACGGGAUGGCGACAAGUGGGAGGAGAGGUCCUGGCGGCGAUCGGGGUCGCUCCCCCCCCCCCCCCCAUCGAGCCGCUACUCCCCCUGCGAGAGCCUCCAUGGGCCUCAACAGGUCCGAUCAACUUCCGGCUAGAUAUCGGUGCGGCGCUAACACCAGCAGCAUCAGCCCAGCAAAGACACACCACCGCGACACACCACCUGGCAUCGCUCCCGCAGUGCGCCACGUGGUGCUGGACCGACGGAUCGGCAUCCGGAGGCAUCACCGACGGAGGAGCGGGUGCUUUCAUCAAGAGGCCGGACGGCGAGGUGACAGACGCUCCGCGUCGCCGCCGGCCGCCUCUGCUCUAGCUACAGAGCGGAGAUGAUCGCACCCCAAAGAGCUGCCAACCACCUAGUCAACAACCCGGCACACUUGGAGGACGCGAUCAUCUUUUGUUGUUGUUGUAUUCCCCUCGGCCCGUCACCGGGGCGUAGUCGUUCGGCUCUGGAAGGACCGAAAGCCGGCGGCCAAGGCCGCCACCACGUCGUCCCGUCUGAAGUCGGUGGAGCGUCCGUAAAUGUUGCCCAUGGCGAGGAGGCGGGCCCCGCAGAGGCACGGGCAGCGCAGCAGGACGUGUUGCGGGGUGUCACUGUCCGCCUCAUCAUGUCGAUCAUCUUCUUGACCGACUCCAUGGCGGCACUCGCGCGGCUCCGCGAGGGACCAGCGGCGCAGUCGACAUCGCUCGGAGUCGGGAUCUGGAGAGCCCUGCGCUCCCUGGCCUCAUCGGGACGACCCAUUCACCUCCAGUGGGUCCCCUCGCAUUGCGGCCUUCCUGGAAAUGAGAGGGCAGACACCCUGGCGGGGGAGGCCUCCGCCCUGGACCAGAACUCAGACACACACCACUGGACACCAGAACGAUCCAGAGAGCAGCGGCAAGGCUGGCGCGUGCGAGGACCAUAGCGGCCUGGCCCGACGGCUGGUAUCGCCAACUGCCGGUGCGGGCUCUGUCGUGAGGAAGCAGACACCUCAGCCCACGUGCUGAUGCGGUGUCCCGCCCUGGUGCAACUGCCGGUUCCGAGUGCUCGGAACUAUACACCCGACCCACGAGGACCUGCGCAGCAUCGACGCAGUGGCGGCCCUGGGGGCCGCCUUCGUCCCCCUCCAGAGCCGGCAGGAUACGCCCUAGGGCUGGAGGGAGACAACAACAACAACAACAACAACAACAACAACAACAACAACAACAACAGACGGACAUGAACCCAUUUAAUGCGUUCAAACGCUACCGCGACAGCCGCAAGGUGCUCGAGUAUCGGACGGAGCUGUUAAUCAGCUCGUGUUGCGAAAUGCGAGGUGCCAUCGGCGUAGUGCCGGCGCAAUAUGAGCACGGUCCGUUGCCGUGCGCCAGCUGCCUCAGUCUACUGGCCAGCCCGGUGAGACGGCACCUCGCCGUCGCCGCCGGACGCUCAGGUGGGAUCUCUGAUGUGUUGAGCUCAGCUUGAAGUGUCUUCAGUCACCCAGCAGCGACUGGAGCGGUCCGAGCGAGCCCGUGUACCGCCGCCAGUGUUUGGUCGUGUUUGGGGCCGUACGGCACGGGUGAUCUGUACGGGCGCGGCCGUAUCUUAUGUUACGUAUCGUAGCUAAGCACGACUUGUCACUGUCCACCACGGGACCCGCCCAUGUUGACGGCGUCGCAAUGUACUCAUUGAUUGACUAGUGCUGCGCGACUGCUCGGAGUUGACCAGUUAACGUUUUGUAGGCUUUAUUAUCACUGGCGGAGGCGUGGGGACUGCCGAGUGUUUUCUAUUCGUCAGUGUUUGCCGAGGCGAGGCUGCUUAAUGACGAUUGUGACAUGUUACUAUGGAUCCUCACGUGAAGUCGUCGGGUUAUCUAACUUGGUUCAUCAAUAAAUGGUGUGACCUACAAA